rnacentral:rRNA from 1 species
UACGAAGGGGGCUAGCGUUGUUCGGAAUCACUGGGCGUAAAGCGCGCGCAGGCGGUCCUUUAAGUCUGAUGUGAAAUCCCACGGCUCAACCGUGGAAGGUCAUUGGAAACUGGGGGACUUGAGUACAGAAGAGGAAAGCGGAAUUCCAAGUGUAGCGGUGAAAUGCGUAGAGAUUUGGAGGAACACCAGUGGCGAAGGCGGCUUUCUGGUCUGUAACUGACGCUGAGGCGCGAAAGCGUGGGGAGCAAACAGG